UGGGGGCACCCUGAUCAGCCAUGCCGCGUGUGUGAAGAAGGCCCUCGGGUUGUAAAGCACUUUCAGCGAGGAAGAACGCCUAGCGGUUAAUACCCGCUAGGAAAGACAUCACUCGCAGAAGAAGCACCGGCUAACUCCGUGCCAGCAGCCGCGGUAAUACGGAGGGUGCAAGCGUUAAUCGGAAUUACUGGGCGUAAAGCGCGCGUAGGUGGCUUGAUAAGCCGGUUGUGAAAGCCCCGGGCUCAACCUGGGAACGGCAUCCGGAACUGUCAAGCUAGAGUGCAGGAGAGGAAGGUAGAAUUCCCGGUGUAGCGGUGAAAUGCGUAGAGAUCGGGAGGAAUACCAGUGGCGAAGGCGGCCUUCUGGACUGACACUGACACUGAGGUGCGAAAGCGUGGGUAGCAAACAGGAUUAGAUACCCUGGUAGUCCACGCCGUAAACGAUGUCGACCAGCCGUUGGGUGCCUAGCGCACUUUGUGGCGAAGUUAACGCGAUAAGUCGACCGCCUGGGGAGUACGGCCGCAAGGUUAAAACUCAAAUGAAUUGACGGGGGCCCGCACAAGCGGUGGAGCAUGUGGUUUAAUUCGAUGCAACGCGAAGAACCUUACCUACUCUUGACAUCCUGCGAAUUUGGUAGAGAUACCUUAGUGCCUUCGGGAACGCAGAGACAGGUGCUGCAUGGCUGUCGUCAGCUCGUGUUGUGAAAUGUUGGGUUAAGUCCCGUAACGAGCGCAAUCCUUGUCCUUAUUUGCCAGCGCGUAAUGGCGGGAACUCUAAGGAGACUGCCGGUGACAAACCGGAGGAAGGGUGGGGACGACGUCAAGUCAUCAUGGCCCUUA
rnacentral:rRNA from 1 species